AGAUCGUACCCACAUUUACUUGGAUAACUGUGGUAAUUCUAGAGCUAAUACAUGCAAACUAGAAUUCCAACCAGAGAUGGAAGGAAUGCUUUUAUUAGAUCAAAACCAAUCGGUGGUAUAUGUAAAAAUAUAUCCAUCGUUAAUUUUGAUGACUCUGAAUAACUUUGUGCUGAUCGCAUGGUCUUUGUACCGGCGACGAAUCUUUCAAAUGUCUGCCUUAUCAACUGUCGAUGGUAGGUUCUGCGCCUACCAUGGUUGUUACGGGUAACGGGGAAUCAGGGUUCGAUUCCGGAGAAGGGAGCCUGAGAAACGGCUACCACAUCCAAGGAAGGCAGCAGGCGCGCAAAUUACCCACUCCCAGCACGGGGAGGUAGUGACAAAAAAUAACGAUACGGGACUCAUCCGAGGCCCCGUAAUCGGAAUGAGUACACUUUAAAUCCUUUAACAAGGAACAAUUGGAGGGCAAGUCUGGUGCCAGCAGCCGCGGUAAUUCCAGCUCCAAUAGCGUAUAUUAAAGUUGUUGCGGUUAAAAAGCUCGUAGUUGAAUCUGUGUGCCACGCUGUUGGUUCACCGCUCGCGGUGUUUAACUGACAUGAUUGUGGGACGUCCUACCGGUGGAUUUAGCUAUAUUUUUAUAUUUUUAUUUUUUUUCUCUUUUGGGAGAUUAAUUAUAUUAUAUAUAAUUUUAUAGCGAUCCAACUAAUAUCCUGUCACGGUGCUCUUUAUUGAGUGUCGAGAUGGGCCGGUACGUUUACUUUGAACAAAUUAGAGUGCUUAAAGCAGGCUAAAUUUUGCCUGAAUACUGUGUGCAUGGAAUAAUAGAAUAGGACCUCGGUUCUAUUUUGUUGGUUUUCGGAACCCCGAGGUAAUGAUUAAUAGGGACAGAUGGGGGCAUUCGUAUUGCGACGUUAGAGGUGAAAUUCUUGGAUCGUCGCAAGACGAACAGAAGCGAAAGCAUUUGCCAAAAAUGUUUUCAUUAAUCAAGAACGAAAGUUAGAGGUUCGAAGGCGAUCAGAUACCGCCCUAGUUCUAACCAUAAACGAUGCCAGCUAGCGAUCCGCCGAAGUUCCUCCGAUGACUCGGCGGGCAGCUUCCGGGAAACCAAAGCUUUUGGGUUCCGGGGGAAGUAUGGUUGCAAAGCUGAAACUUAAAGGAAUUGACGGAAGGGCACCACCAGGAGUGGAGCCUGCGGCUUAAUUUGACUCAACACGGGAAACCUCACCAGGCCCGGACACCGGAAGGAUUGACAGAUUGAUAGCUCUUUCUUGAUUCGGUGGGUGGUGGUGCAUGGCCGUUCUUAGUUGGUGGAGCGAUUUGUCUGGUUAAUUCCGAUAACGAACGAGACUCUAGCCUGCUAAAUAGGCGUAUUUCUGGUAUCUUGAAGAUUAUAUAUUUUUUGGUAACAAUUUAUAUAUAAUUUUUACUACCGACGUACAAUAAAAUCUUCUUAGAGGGACAGGCGGUUCUAGCCGCACGAGAUUGAGCAAUAACAGGUCUGUGAUGCCCUUAGAUGUUCUGGGCCGCACGCGCGCUACACUGAAGGAAUCAGCGUGUCUUCCCUGGCCGAAAGGCCCGGGUAACCCGCUGAACCUCCUUCGUGCUAGGGAUUGGGGCUUGCAAUUAUUCCCCAUGAACGAGGAAUUCCCAGUAAGCGCAAGUCAUAAGCUUGCGUUGAUUACGUCCCUGCCCUUUGUACACACCGCCCGUCGCUACUACCGAUUGAAUGAUUUAGUGAGGUCUUCGGACUGGUGCGCGGCAAUGUUUCGGCAUUGCCGAUGUUGCUGGGAAGAUGACCAAACUUGAUCAUUUAGAGGAAGUA
rnacentral:rRNA from 1 species